AAAAGGCAGUACCAUUUUGGCUCCACUAGUUCACUCCCACCGAGAGCUCUCUUCUUCUCCUUUCUCUUCCUCAUUUCAUCGCAAAUACCCACCGCCAAGGCCUCCACCGCUCUCCUCCGUAAGCUUGCUUCUUGAGGCAAUUUUGCUUAAAGCCAAAUCCUUAGAGGAACUCGAGCUAUACGCAGGUAUUACCGCCUACAGUUAACAAUCAUCAACUCAACAAGGAUAUAGGAGGACAUAAACCAUCUAAGAUUUGUGCCUAUAAUAUAAUUUACUAUUACAUCUAAUUCUCUUCAAAGAAGUGUGGCAUAUGUUGAAGGCCUGGACAUAAGAACUCAUAUGAAUGGAAUAUAUAUUAACAUGGGAGUAUGUCCACAAUAUGAGUAAGCUGAAAUUCCUCCAAUUUUUAUGUUUUUCAUAAAAAAAAAUUUCCUCAUGAUACUAUAGCUUGCUGUGGGAAAGCUUUGACUGGUAGAGAGUACCUACUUUUUUAUGGAAGACUUAAAAAUCUUAAAGGUUCCGUCUUGACUCAAACAGUAGAAGAAUCUUGGAAGAGUUUAAACCUUUUCCGUGGAGGGGUUGCUGAUAAACAAGCUGGAAAAUACAGUUGUGGGAUGAAGAGGAGGCUUAGUGUUGCAAUUUCAUUAAUUGGGGACCCCAAAGUUGUUUAUAUGGAUGAGCCAAGUACUGGAUUAGACCCUGCUUCAAGAAAAUGUUUAUGGAAUGUUACCAAGCAUGCAAAAUAGGAUUGUGGAAUCAUUCUAACAACUAAAAGCCAGAUAUGGAGGAACUUAUGUGUUGACAAUGACAGCAUCUUCGGAUCGCGAGAAGAAUGUAGAGAACAAGAUAUACCGAUAUACCGUCUUUUUGGAACUUAGAAAAAGAGAUGGUCGAGACCAACAAAAGUUUAACCUUUCUGAUGCAACAUUUAGGAUUUGUUGGAUCUUCUUUUCGUCCAAGUUCAUCACCACAAUCCAACGAUGAAACUGAUUAAGAUAGCGGGGAUGACGACAUUGGUAGUGAUUAUAUUGAGUAGUAUUUGUUUUUAUUUUGUUAAAUUGGUUGUAUCAUGUACUUGGUUAUACUUAAAUUUUUUUUUUUUUUUAGAUCAUGUUUUAAUUAAUAUUUAGUUCUGAUUUGUGAACAUGAUAUACAUUUUGUUUAGAAUUAUCACAAUAGUUGGAUCAUGCUUUAAUAAAUAUUUAGUUUUGAUUUGAAAACAUGAUAUAAGUUUUGUUUUGGAUUAUUGCAACAGUAUUUCAAUUAAAGAUUAGUAUUAAAUAUUUUAAAAAUGUA